GAUGAAGAACGUAGCGAAAUGCGAUAAGUAAUGUGAAUUGCAGAAUUCAGUGAAUCAUCGAAUCUUUGAACGCACAUUGCGCCCGCCAGUAUUCUGGCGGGCAUGCCUGUUCGAGCGUCAUUUCAACCCUCGAACCCCUCCGGGGGGUCGGCGUUGGGGACCUCGGGAGCCCCUAAGACGGGAUCCCGGCCCCGAAAUACAGUGGCGGUCUCGCCGCAGCCUCUCCUGCGCAGUAGUUUGCACAACUCGCACCGGGAGCGCGGCGCGUCCACGUCCGUAAAACACCCAACUUCUGAAAUGUUGACCUCGGAUCAGGUAGGAAUACCCGCUGAACUUAAGCAUAUCAAUAAGCGGAGGA
rnacentral:misc_RNA from 1 species